ACAAAAAUAUAUAAAUAAGGUGCACUCACAGGUCUUCAAAAGUGCUUCUUUUAUUUUACAUGCAAAUUACAUGUGGUUUUUUUUGCACAUGUAAUUUGCAUGUAAAAUAAAAGAAGCACUUUUGAAGACCUGUGAGUGCACCUUAUUUAUAUAU